UAAAAAUGCGUUUUUUCAUCCCGACAUGGGACAAAUAUAUAGACCAACUAGGUCGCAACGCGUUUUUUCUUCCCGACAUGGGACAAGCAUAUAUUGACCAACUAGGUCUACAAAAUCGUAACAAUGCGAUAUUGCGAGCAUUGAGUAUUUUAGCGUAGCGAAAUACAUUAAAUUGAAAAGAUGUUUUAACCGUCCAAACCAAAAUUUUUAAAAUAAAAAUACGCCAUCCUUCUGUAAUUCUACUUUACAAUCUUUACCCUUUCUAUAAACUCUUCUGUAUUUCAAUGUCUUGUCUCAUUGUAGAUCAUAUACAUGUAAAUAUUUUUUUGACCUAUAUAUAUCAUUAAUUUUA